CACGUAGUUAGCCGGUGCUUCUUUACCCAUUACCGUCACUCACGCUUCGUCACAGGCGAAAGCGGUUUACAACCCGAAGGCCGUCAUCCCGCACGCGGCGUUGCUGCAUCAGGCUUCCGCCCAUUGUGCAGUAUUCCCCACUGCUGCCUCCCGUAGGAGUCUGGGCCGUAUCUCAGUCCCAAUGUGGCCGGUCACCCUCUCAGGCCGGCUACCCGUCAAAGCCUUGGUAAGCCACUACCCCACCAACAAGCUGAUAAGCCGCGAGUCCAUCCCCAACCGCCGAAACUUUCCAACCCCCACCAUGCAGCAGGAGCUCCUAUCCGGUAUUAGCCCCAGUUUCCUGAAGUUAUCCCAAAGUCAAGGGCAGGUUACUCACGUGUUACUCACCCGUUCGCCACUCGAGCACCCCACAAAAGCAGGGCCUUUCCGUUCGACUUGCAUGUGUUAAGCACGCCGCCAGCGUUCGUCCUGAGCCAGGAUCAAACUCU
rnacentral:rRNA from 1 species